rnacentral:pre_miRNA from 1 species
AAUAAAUGCAGUUUUACACUAUUCACGUUCAACGUUUGACCGUUCGUCUUAUUUGAAAUUUUUUUAUGAUUAGUAUUUUUAUUGCUAUUAGAUGAUAAAACAUAAAUAGUACUUUAUGUGUGACUAAAUAUUUUCAAAUUUUUCAAAUAAGACGGACGGUCAAAUGUUGGGCACGGAUAUCCACGGCUGCACUUAUU